rnacentral:rRNA from 1 species
UACGGGGGGGGCAAGCGUUGUUCGGAAUUACUGGGCGUAAAGGGCGCGUAGGCGGCCAUGCGUGUCUUUCGUGAAAUCCCUCGGCUUAACUGAGGACGUGCGGAAGAAACUGCAAGGCUUGAGUCCGGGAGAGGGGGGUGGAAUUCCCAGUGUAGCGGUGAAAUGCGUAGAUAUUGGGAGGAACACCGGUGGCGAAGGCGGCCCCCUGGACCGGUACUGACGCUGAGGCGCGAAAGCGUGGGUAGCAAACGGG